AACGCGAAGAACCUUACCCAGGUUUGACAUCCUUGGAAUUUUUCCGAAAGGAAAAAGUGCUUUAUUGAGCCAAGUGACAGGUGCUGCAUGGCCGUCGUCAGCUCGUGUCGUGAGAUGUUUGGUUAAGUCCAUCAACGAGCGCAACCCUUGUGAUUAGUUGAAUUUUUCUAAUCAGACUGCCCUGGCAACAGGGAGGAAGGAGGGGAUGAUGUCAGGUCCGUAUUGCCCUUACACCUGGGGCUACAAACACGCUACAAUGGCCGGUACAAAGGGCAGCCAAGUCGUAAGACGGAGCAAAUCCCAUCAAAGCCGGUCCCAGUUCGGAUUGCAGGCUGAAACUCGCCUGCAUGAAGUCGGAAUCGCUAGUAACGGUAGGUCAGCUAUACUACCGUGAAUACGUUCCCGGGCCUUGUACACACCGCGUGUCU
rnacentral:rRNA from 1 species